GAUGAAAUUAUCAAAUUGAAUAGAAAGGAAGGAAAGAAGCAAAGUUUUCCAAGACUGAAUAGAAGACUCCAGCAAAGUGGUGCCCGGCAACUCAGGAUGAGAGUGCGGUGGGGAGUCCAGCAGAGUUCUGGUUUUGGUAAAACUAGCGUGAGCCGUAGAGGAAGAGUAUUGCCGGGAAAGAGACGUCCUUAUGGAGUCAUCACUGGCCUUGCAGCCAGGAAAGCAACUGGUAUUCGAAAAGGAAUAAGCCCUAUGAAUCGUCCACCUCUAAGUGACAAGAAUAUAGAACGGUAUUUUCCAGCAUUAAAAAGGAAGACAAGCCUUCUGAGACAAAAUGAAGUGCAAAGGAAACCCGUUGCCGUUCUCAAGAGACCGAAUCAGUUAAACAGAAAAAAUAACAUUCCAGCUAAUUUUACCAGGAGUGGAAAUAAAUUAAGUCAUCAGAAAGACACUCGUCAGGCAACUUUUCUUUUCAGAAGAGGCCUGAAGGUAUUAGAAAGCCCUGCUUGUGCUGUUUCUACUCAUAGGGGUCCUUUAGGAAUUAGAGGCUUGGCCUGUUAAUGUGAAAAAUAAGACACUAGAUUAAUUCUUUCUGUUAAUACAUGCAUUUUUCUAUU
rnacentral:lncRNA from 1 species